CACCACCGCUGUGAUCAGCUUCCUGCCGCCCAGACCACGCAGCUAGGCUCCGCCCCAAGGCAGCUAGGCUCCGCCCCCCAGAGCCUUGGGCAGGAGGUGACGUCAGGGUGGUCAGCAGAGGCUCGGCUGGACGUCAGCCGCGGCGACACCACCGAAAGCCUGAGGUGGGCGAGGGGAAGGAGACCAAGCUCUGGGGACCCUCCUGAGAUCAGGGGCGCACCCCCGGGACACAGCCCUGCCCCGGAGCGAAGCGGACGCAGGAGAUUUGGAGGCACCACCCCUGAUGGACACGGCCUAUUCGGGCUGCUCCUGUGUCUUCACUGUACCAUAACCUUCUCCACCAGGUGGGACCCCAGGGAUCGCCUUCCAAAUCUGUUUGGGGCGCUGGCAUGAAGUGGGCAGCCAGGGGAGGUUAGGCUUGGGGGCGGGGUAGGGGUGGGUGAGGGUCACUCCAGACAAGCCUGUCCUGGUUGAAGCGGGUCACUAUACUCAGAGGACACGUUGCUGACGGUAAUGUCUGGACAGGCCAGCAGGGCGUGAGGGCGCUCAGAGAGACGUGGCGCCCGCAGGCAGAGGGACACACGCUCACGUGUGCACACACGCACCCUAGCGGGGCCCCCAGGACUCCCUGGAGACUGGGGUUUGCACCUCAGCUGCUGGAAGCCCUG
rnacentral:lncRNA from 1 species